GAACGUUUGUGUAGGCUCUUCCAUGAACCCCCCUUUUUUUGUUUGUAAACUAGCAAACACACUAGCAAUGUGAGAUUUUCAGAGGGAGGAGUUUUGAAAAACCAGCAUGAACGGUUGUCGUAUCUAGGUCAAAUAUGUCAAUUUCGAAUUGCAACACGUUAUAGUCAUAACAAAUUAAUUAGAAUCAACACGUGCAUCAUUUAAGAGUUUGGAAGUUUUAUAAAGUUAAGGAAAUAUAUUAAAUGCAUGCCAGUUUGAUAAAAUUCAUUACUCUGUAGUAGUCAAUAUACGCAUGUGCAAACAAAUUUUAUUGGAUUUAGAGCAUGGGUUUAUUCAUAAAGCGAAUGAAGCACGUCAUAUAUUAGAAUGUAAAAUAUCAUAUUACUAAAAACAUAUGUAUUUGUAUCUUUUGUGUCUUUGGUUAGAUCAGUGCCAACGUACCUCCGAUGAUUUGAAAACACAUAUUUAUGAUUAAAAUACAAAUGUUGAAAUGUACCUAUAUUACGCAAUGCU
rnacentral:lncRNA from 1 species